AGGCGAUUACAGGUACGGGCUCUGAGAGGAGAAGCCCGGAGAUGGGUACUGAGACAAGGACCCAGGCCCUAUGGGGCGCAGCAGGCGAGAAAACUUUGCAAUGUGCGAAAGCACGACAAGGUUAAUCCGAGUGAUUUCUGCUAAAGAAAUCUUUUGCAAGUCAUAAAACCACUAGUGAAUAAGGGGUGGGCAAGUUCUGGUGUCAGCCGCCGCGGUAAGACCAGCACCUCAAGUGGUCAGGAGGAUUAUUGGGCCUAAAGCAUCCGUAGCCGGCUCUGUAAGUUUUCGGUUAAAUCCAUGUGCUCAACGCAUGGGCUGCCGAAAAUACUGCAUAGCUAGGGAGUGGGAGAGGUAGACGGUACUCGGUAGGAAGGGGUAAAAUCCUUUGAUCUAUCGAUGACCACCUGUGGCGAAGGCGGUCUACCAGAACACGUUCGACGGUGAGGGAUGAAAGCUGGGGGAGCAAACCGGAUUAGAUACCCGGGUAGUCCCAGCUGUAAACGAUGCAGACUCGAUGAUGCAUUGGCAUAUAGCCAGUGCAGUGUCGCAGGGAAGCCGUUAAGUCUGCCGCCUGGGAAGUACGUACGCAAGUAUGAAACUUAAAGGAAUUGGCGGGGGAGCACCACAAGGGGUGAAGCCUGCGGUUCAAUUGGAAUCAACGCCGGA
rnacentral:rRNA from 1 species